GGCUGCGGUAAUUUGACCGUGCGAAGGUAGCAUAAUCAAUAGUCUUUUAAUUGGAGGCUUGAAUGAAAGGUUUGACGGAGGAAAAGCUGUCUCUUUAAUUUGUGUUGAAUUUAACGUUUGUGUGAAAAGGCAUUAAUAAUUUAGAGGGACGAUAAGACCCUAUAAAAUUUUACAUAUUAAUAUUAUUUAAUAAAAUUGUUAUAGUAAUGAUUGAAUUGUGUGAUUGUGUUUUGCUGGGGCGGCAGGAAUAUAAAAAUUUAACUGUUUUAAACAUAAAAUACUUAUAAGUAGAAAUUGGUCCUUUAUUGGAGAGAAAAGAGUAAGUUACUUUAGGGAUAACAGCAUAAUUUCUUCUAAGAGUUCUUAUCGAAGAUGGUUAGUUGUGACCUCGAUGUUGAAUUAAAUUUUCCUUUAGGUGUAGGAGUUU
rnacentral:rRNA from 1 species